rnacentral:lncRNA from 1 species
UUCUAAUCAAUUUUUAUCUUACUUUGGCUAGUGACCGAUUUGGAUAUCGACAUCGGCCAAACAGCUGGUGGUCAAGCGAGGCUGCCAAGCGAACAUGUCGAGUCACAUCAAGUUGUAUCAUUCUGAGGUCAUACCUUAAAUGCUUUGCUCCGUACCAUGAUAGGACACCACAAAGUCAUUAGUUAUGCCACAUACGUAUGAUAAAGCCUGC